GCCAAUGUCAGGACAUGAAAGCUUUGGACCUAUCCUCCUUGGACAGAACCUGCAAACUCAGAAGUGGCAAUGAAGGGCUGGAGAACGGGGGACCCUCUGUGGAUUCUGAAGGAGGAGCUGUUUCAGGAACACAGCUUUGAGAGAGUAACGCUUCGUUGAGACCAUCUGGAC